rnacentral:rRNA from 1 species
GACAGAGGAUGCAAGUGUUAUCCGGAAUGAUUGGGCGUAAAGCGUCUGUAGGUGGCUUUUUAAGUCCGCCGUCAAAUCCCAGGGCUCAACCCUGGACAGGCGGUGGAAACUACCAAGCUGGAGUACGGUAGGGGCAGAGGGAAUUUCCAGUGGAGCGGUGAAAUGUGUAGAUAUUGGAAAGACCACCGAUGGCGAAGGCACUCUACUGGGCCAUGACUGCACUGAGAGACGAAAGCUAGGGGAGCAAAUGGG